AACGCACAUUGCGCCCUUUAGUAUUCUGAAGGGCAUGCCUGUUCGAGCUUCAUUAUCACUAAUCAAGCCCGGCUUGCUGUUGGACCUCUUGUCGUUAAAAGACAGGUCCUAAAGAUAAUGACGGCGUCAGUUGGACCCUAGAUGCAACGAGCUUUAACUAGCACGCAUUUUAGUUGGCCCUUUUGACCCGGUCUUUUUAUAACCAUUUUCUAAGGUUGACCUCGGAUCAGGUAGGAAUACCCGCUGAACUUAA
rnacentral:misc_RNA from 1 species